CCUACGGGUGGCUGCAGUGGGGAAUAUUGGACAAUGGGGGGAACCCUGAUCCAGCCAUGCCGCGUGUGUGAAGAAGGCCCUCGGGUUGUAAAGCACUUUCAGUGAGGAAGAACGCCUGGUGGUUAAUACCCAUCAGGAAAGACAUCACUCACAGAAGAAGCACCGGCUAACUCCGUGCCAGCAGCCGCGGUAAUACGGAGGGUGCGAGCGUUAAUCGGAAUUACUGGGCGUAAAGCGCGCGUAGGUGGCUUGAUAAGCCGGUUGUGAAAGCCCCGGGCUCAACCUGGGAACGGCAUCCGGAACUGUCAAGCUAGAGUGCAGGAGAGGAAGGUAGAAUCCCCGGUGUAGCGGUGAAAUGCGUAGAGAUCGGGAGGAAUACCAGUGGCGAAGGCGGCCUUCUGGACUGACACUGACACUGAGGUGCGAAAGCGUGGGUAGCAAACAGGAUUAGAUACCCUUGUAGUC
rnacentral:rRNA from 1 species